AACGAACGCUGGCGGCAGGCUUAAUACAUGCAAGUCGAGCGCGUAGCAAUACGAGCGGCAGACGGGUGAGUAACGCGUGGGAAUCUACCCAGCUCUACGGAAUAACCCAGGGAAACUUGG
rnacentral:rRNA from 1 species